GACUGCAUCUUCAACAAUAAAGUGACUCAAUUCAAAUAUGAACGUGAAUAUUCUUGUGUCCAUCCUUCAUCCUUUGUUAGCUUUUGAUUAAGUUUCCUGCAUGUGUGUAAUUGUGAAAAUUUUAUUGCUAUGAAUCUGUUCCUUUUAAGAAGUUCUAUCCCUAUGUGACGAAUAGGUAUCCAUUCUUGUGUUGCUAUGAAGAAUUUAUUGGCUUUUGUUUGUCAUUUGGCUAUUUGAAUAUGUAUUACCGGUUUGACAUUUUUUAAAAUAUAGCACAAAUAGGUACAAUACCACAAUAAUCUAAGUAGUGGGCAAGUUCCAAAAAUUGCACAAAGAAACAAGGUUGCACCUCACAAUAAUAACAAAUUAGUCAAUGCUUAUACUAAACAGUGCACUCAUUUCGGCCAGAAAUUGAAUGAAGGAAGGAACAAUUUCUUUUAUUCUUAGCUUAGUCAUUGCUUUAACAAUCUAAAUCACUCAAAUUAACCCAAAUUACAACUAAAUUCAAAAGAUCAAAAACCAAACAGAAGAAAUAAUUCCAGUAAUUUCACCUUAACAAACAAACGAUAAACUCCGCAUCUAACACCAAAUUCAUAAGCAAUUUCAAUAAACAAAAAGAUUAAGUCAGAAGGAAUUAAAACUUUGCAAUUGCUGAAAUUUUUUCCAAAAAAAUAGUCUAAAUGGGACAUCGACCAAGGACCUCUAUCGAAAUCGAAAACGAACAGGAACCGCCGAGCCCGGAACAGAAAACUCACUCAUGACCAAGAACAACAACUGGUACUCACAGUUUUAUUUUUCAAGAAAAUCAUAAGUAGAUGCAAAUUUCUUCAAUAUUUGACUAAAUACAGAUCCUCCAACGAAUUGAAACUCGACAACUCAAAACGGGACCUUCGAUCCAGACCUCAGAAACUCGCCGGAACCGUGACAAAAUCCAACAACAACAACGGCUGAAGCUCUCCUUUCAGAAGUGUCGCUGCUGGUUGUUUUCAGUGAAGCAGGGGUCAUUGGUUUGGUUAAGAAUCAGCCAUGAGGUCGUGGCUGCUUGAAGAAGAUGAUCGAUAGGGGGGGGGGGGGGGGAGGUUUCUUGGUGUUCUGCGGCGGAUGCUCUUAGUUUCUCUAGGUCUAGCGGCUGAAAGGUCUUAUCUUGUAUUUUUUGUAUAUGUUAGUCCCCAAAUCCAAAGAAAAAUGGCUGCCCCUUACAAGGAUUUUAGGGUUUUAAUGGUAUUAUGGUUAGUUUAGUGGGUAUUGGGUUUGAGUUGUUAUGGGCUAAAUCCAAAUAUUAGGCCUACAAAUGGGUCGGUUGAGCCCAAAUUUUAUUCUAUCUCAG
rnacentral:lncRNA from 1 species